GAUCUCUCUCACAUUUUGUUAAAUCUGCUGAUUAACAAGGUUUCAAGCAAGUCGUUUUUAUUUUGUUUUUCAUUAACAAGUGUUAAUCGGUGUUUGAUUUCUCUGUAGGUGCCGAUGAAGUGUAGAGAUUGGUUACAUGAACUUUUUUUUUUGAUGGAUUUCCGGAGUUGUCCCUAACUGUUGGAAGACUUGCAGUUUUCUACAAACAGAGAGAUUUGUACUUCUAUCCAGCUUGGGCAUAUGCAAUCCCAGCCACCAUUCUGAAGGUUCCUAUUUCAUUGUUUUCAGCUCUAAUUUGAACAUCUCGUUGGAUACAGUCCUGAGGCUGGAAGAUAUGGAGAUGGUGAGCCAACUGACAAUUCUGCAAGGUUCUAUAAAUGGUUUUCAGAGGGUAAAGGAGAGAGAAAUGGCUUAAUCUUU